rnacentral:rRNA from 1 species
AUUGAACGCUGGCGGCAGGCCUAACACAUGCAAGUCGAGCGAGCGGCGGACGGGUGAGUAAUGUAUGGGGACUGCCCGAUAGAGGGGGAUAACUACUGGAAAAGGUAGCUAAUACCGCAUACUAUCGGAGAACGCAUAUGGGAUUAGCUAGUCGGUGAGGUAAUGGCGCACCUAGGCGGCGAUCCCUAGCUGGUCGGAGAGGAUGAGCAGCCACACUGGAACUGAGACACGGCCCAGACUCCUACGGCGGCAGCAGUGGGGAAUAUUGCACAAUGGGCGAAAGCCUGAUGCAGCCAUGCCGCGUGUAUGAAGAAGGCCUUAGGGUUGUAAAGUACUUUCAGUCGGGAGGCGUUACCGACAGAAGAAGCACCGGCUAACUCCGUGCCAGCAGCCGCGGUAAUUC